CAUUCACGGAGAGUUUGAUCCUGGCUCAGGACGAACGCUGGCGGCGUGCUUAACACAUGCAAGUCGAACGAUGAACCACUUCGGUGGGGAUUAGUGGCGAACGGGUGAGUAACACGUGGGU
rnacentral:rRNA from 1 species